CACCAUACACCUCCGAUCAGAUUGAUGCUCUCCCUCCAUUUUGCCUUCUCUCUGAUUCCGUCAAAUUUCAGCUCCCCUUCCUGAAGGUGAUCAUGGCUAGGUUUCUCGCAGCGCUCAUAUUGGUCCUCGUGCUCAUUUCCAUGCUUCAAACAAUGGUCAUGGCUUCUCAUGGGCACGGAGGCCACCACUACGAAGACAAGAAAAAAUUUGGACCGGGCAGUCUCAAGAGCUCCG